rnacentral:lncRNA from 1 species
CCCAGGAUUCAUCUAAGCCAUACUGGCUAAGGCUUAUAGCCUAACAGCCAUGGUUAACCUGAAGCUCGGUACCAGACACCGUGUACAGGGAGUCUGGUUCGGUGAUCCCCAGCGAUGUCCCCACCCUUUUUUCUGUUGUGCCACUCUGAGAGUUACGAGGACCAGCAGGAAACAGACACCACUCAGAAAAGGGAAAUUACCCCUGCAUUCUAUCUCUGGGAAGUGUCCUAUUAGAAAGGAGCCACUGACUCAGAGCCCCAGACAAAAGCUCCGGACCAGAAUGACACAGAACAAGUUGGAAAACAUGUCCGUAUAUCCCUGAGUCCAGGCUGUUCAGGAGGAAAAGAAGGGCAAAGAACGGUGCCUGGAGCCGAGCUUGGGAAAAAUCUAGCUGCCUGGAUUCAAAGAGGAUGAGGAAGAUCGGAAGCCAGAGGCCGGGUGGGCAGCACAUCUCCCUCAACCUGGAGGCCAAGGGGCUGCGACCUUCCCCUAGCAGCCAUGGAUGAUCAAUGUACAGCGUACCCCUAAGAGUUGCUCCGCCGGGUGGGCGGCCGGGUCGUGGAGUUGGCUGCAGCUCCAGGCCUGCCACGCCCCAGCGACCGGGAGCGCAAAGAGUCCCAGGGGGCCAGGGCUAGGCCGUGUGGGGCGUGGCCGGGAAGGGGCGCCCCGGGCGCCGCUCAAAGGCCGCUAAUGUUCGCUAAUCCCGGCCUUUCAGGCGGCCG